UGUACGCUGGCGGCAGGCCUCCCACAUGCAAGUCGAGCGGAUGAAGGGAGCUUGCUCCUGGAUUCAGCGGCGGACGGGUGAGUAAUGCCUAGGAAUCUGCCUGGUAGUGGGGGAUAACGUCCGGAAACGGGCGCUAAUACCGCAUACGUCCUGAGGGAGAAAGUGGGGGAUCUUCGGACCUCACGCUAUCAGAUGAGCCUAGGUCGGAUUAGCUAGUUGGUGGGGUAAAGGCCUACCAAGGCGACGAUCCGUAACUGGUCUGAGAGGAUGAUCAGUCACACUGGAACUGAGACACGGUCCAGACUCCUACGGGAGGCAGCAGUGGGGAAUAUUGGACAAUGGGCGAAAGCCUGAUCCAGCCAUGCCGCGUGUGUGAAGAAGGUCUUCGGAUUGUAAAGCACUUUAAGUUGGGAGGAAGGGCAGUAAGUUAAUACCUUGCUGUUUUGACGUUACCAACAGAAUAAGCACCGGCUAACUUCGUGCCGCCCCGCCGCGGUA
rnacentral:rRNA from 1 species